rnacentral:lncRNA from 1 species
UUUCUCUUUAGGAAGAAAUUGAAUACAACAAUCAAUAUAUUAUUUUUAAUUAUUUUUUGUAAUUAUUGCCAUAAUGUUGAUUCAAAUUAUUACCAAAUAAAACAAAAUUUCAAAAAUAUUCUAAAGUGAUAUGCAUUAAUAUUAAUUGCUUAUGGGCAUUUUUCCAAGAAAAUCAAAUCCAAUUCAUCUCAUGUAGCACCUCUCCCAUUUUAUUCACGUGCACCCCCUUUUUUCUUUUUUUUCUUCCUUCCUUUUUUCCUUUUGUUUUUCCUUUUCCUUUUUUCUUCUUUUGUUUUUUUAUUUAUCUUUUUCUCUUUUAUUCUUUUUCUCUUUUUUUAUCUCCUUUUUCCUCUUCUUCCUUUUUUUUAUUUCUCUUUUUUUUCGUUUUUCAUGUUCUUUUCUUUUUCUUCUUUUCUUUUUCCCUUUUUUUUCAUCUUUUUUUCUUUUAAAAACUUCUUGCUCUUUUUUUUAUUCUUUCUUCGUUUUUUUGUGUGAUUACUUUCUUUUAAAAUUAAACAAAAUAGUAAAAUAAAAUUAAGAACAACAAUAAAAAUCAAGUUUCAUUAUUUAGUCACCUGGACGAAAUUGGGUAUUGACAGCUGCCCCUCUUUACUUAGAUAUUACUAGAUAAUAUGAAAAUUUGAUAUUUUUGUAUUAUCUGAGUAAAAGCUAAGUAAAGAUAGAAA